rnacentral:rRNA from 1 species
UACGGAGGGGGCUAGCGUUGUUCGGAAUUACUGGGCGUAAAGCGCACGUAGGCGGCUUUGUAAGUUAGAGGUGAAAGCCCCGGAGCUCAACUCCGGAAUUGCCUUUAAGACUGCAUCGCUAGAAUUGUGGAGAGGUAAGUGGAAUUCCGAGUGUAGAGGUGAAAGUGCGUAGAUAUCGGGAGGAACACCCAGUCGGCGAAGGCGACUA